CGUAGGGUGCGAGCGUUUAAUCGGAAUUACUGGGCGUAAAGCGUGCGCGGGCGGUUUAGUAAGACAGGCGUGAAAUCCCCGGGCUCAACCUGGGAACUGCGCUUGUGACUGCGUAAGCUAGAGUACGGCAGAGGGGGGUGGAAUUCCACGUGUAGCAGUGAAAUGCGUAGAGAUGUGGAGGAACACCAAUGGCGAAGGCAGCCCCCUGGGUCGAUACUGACGCUCAUGCACGAAAGCGUGGGUAGCAAACAGGAUUAGAUACCCUGGUAGUCCACGCCCUAAACGAGUGUCAACUAGGUGUUGGGAGGGUAAAACCUUUUAGUACCGGAGCUAACGCGUGAAGUUGACCGCCUGGGGAGUACGGCCGCAAGGUUA
rnacentral:rRNA from 1 species